GACGAACGCUGGCGGCGUGCUUAACACAUGCAAGUCGAACGGAAAGGCCCUGCUUUUGGGGGGUGCUCGAGUGGCGAACGGGUGAGUAACACGUGAGUAACCUGCCCUUGACUUUGGGAUAACUUCAGGAAACUGGGGCUAAUACCGGAUAGGAGCUCCUGCUGCAUGGGGGGGGUUGGAAAGUUUCGGCGGUUGGGGAUGGACUCGCGGCUUAUCAGCUUGUUGGUGGGGUAGUGGCUUACCAAGGCUUUGACGGGUAGCCGGCCUGAGAGGGUGACCGGCCACAUUGGGACUGAGGUACGGCCCAGCCUCCUACGGGAGGCAGCAGUGGGGAAUAUUGCACAAUGGGCGGAAGCCUGAUGCAGCAACGCCGCGUGCGGGAUGACGGCCUUCGGGUUGUAAACCGCUUUCGCCUGUGACGAAGCGUGAGUGACGGUAAUGGGUAAAGAAGCACCGGCUAACUACGUG
rnacentral:rRNA from 1 species